rnacentral:misc_RNA from 1 species
GAUGAAGAACGUAGUGAACUGCGAUAAGUAAUGUGAAUUGCAGAAUUCAGUGAAUCAUCGAGUCUUUGAACGCACAUUGCGCCCCCUGGCAUUCCGGGGGGCAUGCCUGUCCGAGCGUCAUUGCUGCCCAUCAAGCCCGGCUUGUGUGUUGGGUCGUCGUCCCCCCCGGGGGACGGGCCCGAAAGGCAGCGGCGGCACCGUGUCCGGUCCUCGAGCGUAUGGGGCUUUGUCACCCGCUCGACUAGGGCCGGCCGGGCGCCAGCCGACGUCUCCAACCAUUUUUCUUCAGGUUGACCUCGGAUCAGGUAGGGAUACCCGCUGAACUUAAGCAUAUCAAUAAGCGGAGGA